rnacentral:rRNA from 1 species
GACAGAGGGUGCAAGCGUUGUUCGGAAUCAUUGGGCGUAAAGGGUGUGUAGGCGGUUGUUUAAGUUUGGUGUGAAAUCUCCCGGCUCAACUGGGAGGGUGCGCCGAAUACUGAAUGACUUGGAGUGCGGGAGAGGAAAGUGGAAUUCCUGGUGUAGCGGUGAAAUGCGUAGAUAUCAGGAGGAACACCGGUGGUGUAGACGGCUUUCUGGACCGUAACUGACGCUGAGACACGAAAGCGUGGGUAGCAAACAGG